GCCUGAGUGGCUCAGUGGUUGAGCAUCUGCCUUUAGUGCAGGUUGUGAUCCCUGGGUCCUGGGAUUGAGUCCCACAUCAGGCU
rnacentral:tRNA from 1 species